UACACCGCGCGGAGGCAGUUUCGCUUCGCGCGCGCACUCUUUCGCUCUCUGUUUUUCUCCUCCGCGUCCUCGUCGUUCUCCCGUCGCAGAGAGUGUAUCUGUACCGGCGGAGCAGAGCGGAGCUGGCCACUGCGUACAGUAUACCAUAAAGCCGGCGUGCGGAUCGAUGCGCGGAAUGGAUGGCGACGUCGCGACGGCUGGCGGGGCUCCGGCCUCGUCGUCGGUGGCCUUGGCUCGUGCCAGGAUCGGGACCGCGAACGCGCCCCUGGCUCACAAGCUGCGGGACGUGUGCCGUGGCCGCGAACGCCCGCGAACCGUGUCCGCAACCGCUGCCUCCGCCGCCGCUGCCAAGGAGCUGGAGGAGAGACGACGGCAGCCCCAGCUGAAGUUCGCCGCCCGACUGCAGGACGAGAGGCGACAGGAGAAGAGGCUCAUCGGCGAGAGCAUCAGGCGGAGAGUCGAGCGAGGCAUGGAAGCUUACGAGGAAGAUUUGGAGUCUCGCCGCGAUCGCCUACGCGAGCUGCUUCUACGCGACGAGGCUCGUCUGACUCGCGAACUCGUGGAGGCAGGUCGGAAACUGGAAGAGCGCCGAGCUACGGAGCUGCAGGAGAGGGCGGCCGAAGCAGCGGCGAGUCGCGAGGCCGUGAGGCGCGAGUUGCUACGCGUGAAGGAGCUGCAGCGCUUCGCAGAAGAAAGCCAGGAGAUACGCGAGGCCAGACAGCGGGCCCGCGCCGAGGACUCGAAGCGAGCCAAUCUCGCGCAGAUUGCCGAAGCCCACGAGCGCCGCAGACAAGAGCGCGAGGACGAGGAAUACUGGAAGACAGUGCUGCGCCAUCAGUGCGAAACCGACGCCGCGUUGAGCUCGCAACAGGCCGAGCGUCGCGCAGAGGAGGAACGUCGCCUGGCCGCCGAGCUUCGCGGUCAGAUGCAGGUCAACUCGCUCGCCAAGAGACAACAGCAGCAGAGCAACCAGCUGGACUGCAGCGAGAACACGCUGUGGAAGUUCGAGGACGAGGGAGAGGCCGAGACUCGCCGGCAGGCCGAGAGGAAAAGAAUACGCGAGGAGCUGGACAGGCAGCUGCGGGAGGCGCGCCAGUGCCUCGAGCGCAGGCUCAGCGAGGAGGCCGAACUCGAGCGCAUGUUGAGCUCGAGUAUCGACGAUAAGACCAGUAGACACAGCCCCGAGGAGGAGAGACGAGAUAAGGAGGCCCGGCGCUGGGAGAUACUGGCCGACAUGAAGAGCAUGAGGAUGGGCUGCAUCGCGCGCACGAUCCGCAAGCUCAAGCACGCAGUGGAAUUUCGCGAGGCGGUGGCGCGCCGCGAGGCGGAAGCCGACGAGUGCGCGCGUCGCUGGACCGCGGAGGCGGAUGCCGCGAGACACGAAGCCCAGCGCCGAGCCAAGGAGGACAACCAGCGCAGGAGCCGCGAGCUGAGACUCGCCUGGGACCGGCAGCACGAGGAGAAGUGCAGGGCGAGCCUCCAGGAUAAUUGCGAGCCAUCCACUGAAGCAGGCGCGGCGACCUACGCAGAAAGCGAGAAAGCGGAGCGCGCUAGGCGUCACCUGGCAGCCCAGAAUUACGGUCGCGAACUGCUGGCCCAGAAAGACCACCAACAGGUCAGCCGGAUGCAGGAACGUCGAUGCCUCGACGAGUAUUACGAGAAACAGAGAAUCCAACGCGAACGAGAAGAACGCCGUAUGGCGCAGGAGCUCACGACGCUUGGAUCGCGACUCCGGAUUUCUGGUAUUCCCUAAAGGAGCGCAAUAUGUACAUAUCUUUCGUUUUCCUCUCCCGUACCCCCUUCCCUACCUCUACGAAGGUUCCUGAGACUGAUGAGCACUUCACUUGUCGUUUAUACCUUAUCCAACAUUCGACCGGUACGCCAAGUGCAGUAGGCGUAGAGAUAAGGACAACAAAAUCCGAAUCAGUGUCCCCAAAUUCUCAAGAGCUAGCAUAUUGAAAAAGAGUGUUCCACGAGGAAGGUGCGUCAAUAGCAAGAACAACGUUAUUCAGUCACCGACAUCCUGCUACUUGAAAGUUGAUGCUGAAGACAAGCACUCGCUAGAUUACUAUGAUGUGCUUAUUUACAGCAACGUGGAAAAGGAACUAGCACGGAGAUUGAUAGAUAGGCAGUCGAAUGGACUCUUUAGAUUCUUCGAGCGCCCGGCCAGUCUCAAGCAGAAGGUUGUAAUCUUCAUCUUCGAGUAACAGCAAUCGUAGCUCAAGUGAUCAAAUACCAGUACUGUCAAUUCCGGAGUCGCAUUGCAAAUUCGAUCACCUGUGGAAGUCAAUGUCCGAACUCAUUGAUCUUCCAUUGUUAGCAC